rnacentral:misc_RNA from 1 species
UUUCCGUAGGUGAACCUGCGGAAGGAUCAUUACAGAGUUCAUGCCCUCACGGGUAGAUCUCCCACCCUUGAAUAUUUAUACCUUAGUUGCUUUGGCAGGCCGUGGAAACACCAUGGGCUCCGGCUUAUGCGUGCCUGCCAGAGGAAACAAACUCUUUUUAUUAAUGUCGUCUGAGUACUAUAUAAUAGUUAAAACUUUCAACAACGGAUCUCUUGGUUCUG